AGGCUUUGAUCCUGGCUCAGGAUGAACGCUAGCGGCAGGCCUAAUACAUGCAAGUCGAGCGGUAGUUUUGUCUUCGGACGAGAUGAGAGCGGCGCACGGGUGAGUAACGCGUACACUACCUACCUUUAACACUGGGAUAGCCCUGGGAAACUGGGAGUAAUACUGGAUGUGGUCACGUUAUAUAGAUGUGAUUAAAGCUGAGGCGGUUAGAGAUGGGUGUGCGUCUGAUUAGCUAGUUGGUGAGGUAACGGCUCACCAAGGCGAUGAUCAGUAGGGGGCGUGAGAGCGUGGUCCCCCACACGGGUACUGAGACACGGACCCGACUCCUACGGGAGGCAGCAGUAAGGAAUAUUGGGCAAUGGACGGAAGUCUGACCCAGCCAUGCGGGGGGGCGAGGAAGACGGCCCUAUGGGUUGUAAACUGCUUUUCUGAGGGAAGAAAAGUAUCUAUUUAUGGGUAUCUGACGGUACCUUCAGGAAUAAGCACCGGCUACAUCCGUGC
rnacentral:rRNA from 1 species